rnacentral:piRNA from 1 species
UUUUUCCUACAUCUUCCAUUA